rnacentral:lncRNA from 1 species
UUCUCCAAAGAAUGACUUAAACAAAUGAAAAGCAAAAACAAUACUAACAUCUAAUCAACUAACAUUUGACUAACUUUUAAUUUCAAGCCAUUUACUUUUAUGCACUUUAACUUCAAGCGAUUUUACCAUUUUCCAUUAUUCAUUAUCAUUUAACUUGUUUAUUUUAAUGCCAUUUUCACUUUUCUCACUUGAGCCAUAUAUUGUGAUUGUAUAUACUUGUUU